rnacentral:rRNA from 1 species
UACGGGAGGCAGCAGUGGGGAAUAUUGGGCAAUGGAGGAAACUCUGACCCAGCAACGCCGCGUGGAGGAAGAAGGUUUUCGGAUCGUAAACUCCUGUCCUUGGAGACGAGUUGAAGACGGUAUCCAAGGAGGAAGCCCCGGCUAACUACGUGCCAGCAGCCGCGGUAAUACGUAGGGGGCAAGCGUUGUCCGGAAUAAUUGGGCGUAAAGGGCGCGUAGGCGGCUCGGUAAGUCUGGAGUGAAAGUCCUGCUUUUAAGGUGGGAAUUGCUUUGGAUACUGUCGGGCUUGAGUGCAGGAGAGGUUAGUGGAAUUCCCAGUGUAGCGGUGAAAUGCGUAGAGAUUGGGAGGAACACCAGUGGCGAAGGCGACUAACUGGACUGUAACUGACGCUGAGGUGCGAAAGUGUGGGGAGCAAACAGGAUUAGAUACCCUGGUAGUCCACACUGUAAACGAUGAAUGCUAGGUGUAGGGGGUAUCGACCCCUUCUGUGCCGCAGUCAACACAAUAAGCAUUCCGCCUGGGGAGUACGGCCGCA